UACAGAGGUCCCGAGCGUUAUCCGGAUUCACUGGGUUUAAAGGGUGCGUAGGCGGGCAGGUAAGUCCGUGGUGAAAUCUCUGAGCUUAACUCAGAAACUGCCAUGGAUACUAUUUGUCUUGAAUAUUGUGGAGGUAAGCGGAAUAUGUCAUGUAGCGGUGAAAUGCUUAGAUAUGACAUAGAACGCCAAUUGCGAAGGCAGCUUACUACACAGUUAUUGACGCUGAGGCACGAAAGCGUGGGGAUCAAACAGG
rnacentral:rRNA from 1 species